UACGAAGGGGACUAGCGUUGUUCGGAAUUACUGGGCGUAAAGCGCACGUAGGCGGAUUUGUAAGUCAGGGGUGAAAUCCCGGGGCUCAACCUCGGAACUGCCUUUGAUACUGCAAAUCUCGAGUCCGGAAGAGGUGAGUGGAAUUCCUAGUGUAGAGGUGAAAUUCGUAGAUAUUGGGAGGAACACCGGUGGCGAAGGCGACCACCUGGACGGAGACUGACGCUGAGGCGCGAGAGCGUGGGGGAGCAAACAGG
rnacentral:rRNA from 1 species